rnacentral:lncRNA from 1 species
GUUCAUUGCUCCUCUUCUUCCUCCCCAGGGUCUGCCCGGCCCCGCUGGCCCCCCCGGAGAGGCUGGCAAGCCUGGUGAGCAGGGUGUCCCCGGAGAUGUCGGUGCCCCCGGCCCCGCCGGUGCCAGGGGUGAGAGAGGUUUCCCUGGUGAACGUGGUGUCCAAGGCCCCCCCGGUCCCCAAGGUCCUCGUGGUGCUAACGGUGCUCCCGGUAAUGAUGGUGCUAAGGGUGAUGCUGGUGCUCCCGGAGCCCCCGGAAGCCAAGGGCCCCCCGGUCUGCAGGGUAUGCCUGGAGAACGUGGUGCUGCCGGCCUGCCAGGUGCCAAGGGUGACAGGGUACGUGUCCCCAGACACCUGUGCCUCCCUCAU